GAUGAACGCUGGCGGCGUGCCUAAUACAUGCAAGUCGAGCGAACAGACGAUGAGCUUGCUCCUCUGACGUUAGCGGCGGACGGGUGAGUAACACGUGGAUAACCUACCUAUAAGACUGGGAUAACUUCGGGAAACCGGAGCUAAUACCGGAUAAUAUAUUGAACCGCAUGGUUCAAUAGUGAAAGACGGCUUUGCUGUCACUUAUAGCUGGAUCCGCGCCGCCUUAGCUAGUUGGUAAGGGAACGGCUCACCAAGGCGACGAUGCGUAGCUGACCUGAGAGGAGGAUCGGCCACACGGGAACUGAGACACGGGCCAGACUCCUACGGGCGGCAGCAGUGGGGAAUAUUGGACAAUGGGCGGAAGCCUGAUACAGCAAUACCGAGUGGGUGAAAAAGGCCUUCGGGUUGUAAAGCCCGUUUGUUGGGAAAGAAAAGCAGCAGGUUAAAACCCCGCUGUUCUGACGGUACCCAAAGAAUAAGCACCGGCUAACUUCGUG
rnacentral:rRNA from 1 species